rnacentral:rRNA from 1 species
UACGUAGGGUGCAAGCGUUAAUCGGAAUUACUGGGCGUAAAGCGUGCGCAGGCGGUUAUGUAAGACAGAUGUGAAAUGCCCGGGCUUAACCUGGGAACUGCAUUUGUGACUGCAUGGCUAGAAUCUGGCAGAGGGGGGUAGAAUUCCACGUGUAGCAGUGAAAUGCGUAGAUAUGUGGAGGAACACCGGUGGCGAAGGCGGCAUCCUGGACCGGUAUUGACGCUGAGGCGCGGAAAGCCCAGGGGAGCAAACGGG